AGAAAGGUGCAGAAAUCUGCUCCAGAACUUCAGGUAUCAGAGAUGGAGGAUGAUUAAAAGAGUGAGGCAAAAAUUCAGAAUGUGGGAGUUAAAAGGUCCCUCAUUUGACAGGAAACUGGAGAAAUGGAAGGGAAGCAUUAACGACGUGGAAGAAACUGGCGAAGCUUCUGACCCGCCAGAUUACCUUAUUGUGGGAGACCAAUCUGAGGGAAAGAGGCAUGGGGGCAAGGGUCUCUGCUGUCUCGAAGUUUCCUUAGUAACGACUCAGAGUCCUCAUGUCGCUGAAACAUCCCCGACUUCUCCAACUUGUAAGAAGAACUGAGGUCUCAUUUUAUUUACUGACCUAAAUCUCAAUGCUCUAGUCCCCCAUCUCUCUGACUGGCAGGAAACUUGAUCUUUGCUGUGAGUUCGUCUCCCUAAAUACUGUCAAGGCUACUCAGGGAUGCCUACCCCAUUCUGAAUGUCCGUCCUAGCUUUCCCCGACUGCCCACCAUGGAGCAGGAACCCAGGAGUCCUCUUUGGUGCGUCUAUAACCUGGAGCAUCAGUUAUACACAGAGAGCCCCUGACAACAACGAGGCAGUGUAUGCCCAUGGACCAAAGCCCAUGCCAGCCACCAGCUCCUCCUGGCUUUGGAGCAUAUCUCCAGCAAUUCCUCCUUCCUUCCAUUCACAAGGGCCUCCCAAAGUGAAGUAUCUGCACCCCAAAGUAUCUCAGCCAUGAAUGAUACCAAUUUUCGAUCUGCUCAUACCCUCACAUGGUCACUUCCCCACAUGGAAAAAAUAACAUGUAGAUAAAAUAGGAUCCUUCCAGGAUGGCCCCUUCUCUGUGUGACUUCCUAUGAUUCUGACUACCGAUUCCCAGGUGUGCGUUCUCUCCCCACACCAAGCAAUUCUCCACCAGCUGGGUGUCCUACAAUUCAACUCAAUUCUGACACUACCUAUCUAGAGAUAGCGUCAGAUCCCACAGGUUGAGGGCUCAGUCCUACAAUACUGUCCACACUUCGGACACCAGUCGCAAGUCCAGGAUGUCACCUGUGCUUCAGAUGGACUGGCUUAAAUCAGAGGUUCCCAAAACCCCCUCCUUGGAUUCGUUUAAUUUGCCGGAGUGGCUCAGAGAACUCAGGAAACACAUUUACUCACUAGAAAUAGCUCUUAUGUGGCAACAGCCUAUACACCUUCAUGAGAUAGUAAAUACCAUUCCAUGAAAUUUCAUGCACAAACACUUAGGCUAUUGAGUAAUUCAC
rnacentral:lncRNA from 1 species